rnacentral:rRNA from 1 species
AAUGGGCGCAAGCCUGAUCCAGCAAUGCCGCGUGUGUGAAGAAGGCCUGCGGGUUGUAAAGCACUUUCAGUGGGGAAGAACGGAUGCGGGCCAAUACCCCGGAUCACUGACGUUACCCACAGAAGAAGCACCGGCUAACUCCGUGCCAGCAGCCGCGGUAAUACGGAGGGUGCAAGCGUUAAUCGGAAUUACUGGGCGUAAAGCGUGCGCAAGCGGUUUGGUAAGACAGGUGUGAAAUCCCCGGGCUUAACCUGGGAAUGGAGCUUGUGACUGCAAGGCUCGAGUGCGGCAGAGGGGGGUGGAAUUCCACGUGUAGCAGUGAAAUGCGUAGAGAUGUGGAGGAACACCGAUGGCGAAGGCAGCCCCCUGGGUCGACACUGACGCUCAUGCACGAAAGCGUGGGGAGCAAA